UAAGUCUCUAACUGCUGGGUUGGCGCUGCCCGCCGGUUGGAUCCCCGCCCAUCCUUCAAGCGCCAACCCAGGUUCCCUUCCUCUAUCUCGCCAGGGUCUGAUCUCCAAAAUACAGAACUUAUAUCACAGUCCAAGCAUUCCGUCUUAUAGGAGAGGGAAUCCGGGCCGGGAAAGAGACCGAUGGUGCAGACAGGGUCUGCCUAAGUCACCAGGCCGGCCUCCAACUUGCCAUCCUUCUGCCUCGGUCUCCCGAGUCGCGGGGAUUACGUUGUACGUAUCUUCAUUUCGGGAAGUUCUACUUGACUUUCUUCAGUUGUCUGCCUGGGCCAGGCACAGACUCUGACCCACACCUCCAGCCCAUGCCCAGACACCGGCCUUGCUGCACCUGCGCCCUCCUGGUGCCGUCUCCUCCUCUGCUGCCCCUCUGUGGUUCCUGUUUCACCUCCGACUCUGCCACUCUGCCCUGAGGUUCCUAUUCCAGCCCCUCCUUUGCUGCUCGACGGAGUCCUGUUUGGGGUCUCAGCCGAGGUGACCCUGAGUGACAGGAAAGGGUGCUCACGCUUGUCCUGCAGCCUGUGUGCUGGUGGCAAAGCUGCCGAGGAGUCUGUUUCCCCACCUGCAAGGGGGACGAGUUUGGCUCACCGGCACCUGGAAGGUGGCAGGCCCUCAUGGGGGUGCUCUCAGUACAACUGGAUUUCAGACUUGGCACAAAGAGGGACGUCAA